rnacentral:rRNA from 2 species
AGAUCGAAUGGGGAGAUUCAUCGUCAGCGAGCCUGGUACGUGUGCGGCUCGCGAUGCCGGGGACCUCGGUCCUUUGGCACGCGUCCGCAUUGUUUUAUUGCCGGGUUUCGUCGGCGUGCACUUCUCCCCUAGUAGGACGUCGCGACCCGUUGGGUGUCGGUCUACGACUCGGGUGGGCGCCUGUCAUGUGUCACGCUUCACGGCGUCGCGUGGCAGACCCCCGGUUGUCUGACCGGCUGCCCGGCGGUACUCGCACGGUAUCGGGCCGCAAAUAUUCGAACUGCGUCCGGCCCGCCGCAAGCGAGGUCAGUGUUUCCCGGAUGUGCGGACUUAACGCCGUCACCGGGCCUGGCCAGCUGUUGGUCGGCGGUGUCCUGGGACUGGCUCUAAAUUAAAUUAUGAUACC